ACGCUGGCGGUAUGCUUAACACAUGCAAGUCGAACGGAAACGAUACUAGCUUGCUAGUAGGCGUCGAGUGGCGGACGGGUGAGUAACGCGUAGGAAUCUGCCUGAUAGUGGGGGAUAGCCCGAAGAAAUUCGGAUUAAUACCGCAUAAUCUAUUCGUAGUAAAGUGGGGGACUUUCGAGCCUCACGCUAUCAGAUGAGCCUGCGUAAGAUUAGCUUGUUGGUAGGGUAAAAGCCUACCAAGGCGACGAUCUUUAGCUGGUCUGAGAGGAUGAUCAGCCACAUCGGGACUGAGACACGGCCCGAACUCCUACGGGAGGCAGCAGUGGGGAAUAUUGGACAAUGGGGGCAACCCUGAUCCAGCAAUACCGCGUGUGUGAAGAAGGCCUGAGGGUUGUAAAGCACUUUCAAUUGUGAAGAAAAGUUAACGGUUAAUAACCGUUAGCCUUGACGUUAACUUUAGAAGAAGCACCGGCUAACUCCGUGCCAGCAGCCGCGGUAAUACGGAGGGUGCAAGCGUUAAUCGGAAUUACUGGGCGUAAAGCGUGCGUAGGCGGUUUAUUAAGUCAGAUGUGAAAGCCCCGGGCUUAACCUGGGAACUGCAUUUGAAACUGGUCAACUAGAGUAUGGUAGAGGAAAGUGGAAUUUCUGGUGUAGCGGUGAAAUGCGUAGAUAUCAGAAGGAACAUCAAUGGCGAAGGCAGCUUUCUGGACCAAUACUGACGCUGAGGUACGAAAGCGUGGGUAGCAAACAGGAUUAGAUACCCUGGUAGUCCACGCCGUAAACGAUGAUAACUAGCCGUUGGGGGGAUUUACCCUUUAGUGGCGAAGCUAACGCGUUAAGUUAUCCGCCUGGGGAGUACGGCCGCAAG
rnacentral:rRNA from 1 species